AUCCUGUCCUCCACUUUUGGAGUUGGUUACUGUUGACUUGCCCUUUAUUCCCCAAAUUCAUGCCUUUUAAUAUGGUUUCAGGACUGGUACGGUUGAUGCAGCCCUUUCUGAGAAUUACACUUGUUCUAUGCUUUUCUAUAACAGCCUCUAUCUCUUGCUCUACAUUUUUUUUCACUGCAAACAGUGACUGUGGCUUAAAGAAGCAAGGUGUGGCAUUACCAGCUGCCAACACACAUUUGAAUAACUUCUGAAAUGCCAGACUUGACAUUGUGAUGUAUCUACAGACAGAUGAUUGAUUGAUAAUUUUAGGGGCGCAACUACCCACUUUCUGGGGGGUAUGCAGACACUUAGCAGGCAAAAUAAUGUGUGAUUUGAACAUGUUAAAUAAGCAAUUUUGGUGAACUCUGGUGAAGAGAAUUAAAGACAAAGAAAACUUUUAUUUCAGUUCAAAUAAAUAGUAAAAUGAGCCAAACAAGUUAGUCAGCCAACAUUUUUGACAUUACCCAUACGACGUGUGUAGGUAUUUACUAAGAAAAACGUUAAAAAGAAAAGCUCAGAAAAACGGUAAAUGGGAAAAAACAGCUUGUUGAUCAAACUUUUUUUUCAAGUGAAGGAGAGAGAAAGGCCUUAAAUAAGAUAGAAAAUAACUUAGAGCCUCAAAUCGAUCGCACCAAAUUCCCUUACAAUAAACUAUUAAGAUUGUGGCAAACAGGAUUUUCAUUAUAAUUGCUAAAAAACCAUCCAUCAAACAUCUCUCGCUCUCUCUCACUCUCACUUUCACUCUCUCACUCACAACACAGUCGUGCGCUGGAAUGGUGCAAAAUAUGAUAAUAGUUGGAAACAGGUGAGUUUGUUGUUUGGGCGCUGACCUGCUAUCACUACACUACCAUUCAAAAACGGUGAAAACAGCAAUAGUCAAAAACUUGAGGUCCCUGUCAUCAGAUGACAACACGAUUCAAAUGAAAGGUCUCGCGCUCCAGCGCGUGCUAGAGGGGGCGCGCACUGGAGCGCUUAUAGUGUGGGGAGGAGGAGGCGAAGGAGCGGGGGCGCCUAUCAGUGACGUGCCUCUGUUACUGAUCAUAUCAUUUACGCAAACGCUGUUAAAUACAGAAAAAAGUUUGCGCCACUGCUGAACAUUUUGAUGGUUGAAUGGUUUCUGUAGCGCAAAAUUUGAAUGAGUUGAAAGGUGCUGAAAAACGUACGGAAGAAGAUAAAUAAUAACUUUAAUAAAUUCCAGAAGAACAAUAGUGUGAAUGCUGUGUCAGCAUUCACACUAAUAAAUAAGCACAGUGAACAUUGGGGUAUUUUCCAGGAGCAAAAUAUCUGCUUCUGAAACAGGGGCCUUGUUGCCCUGAGGAGAAAUCGUUUGUUCUUGCGCUGGUUUUGCGUCUCCAAUCUAUUUUAAAUAUACGGAGGUCAAAAGGUCAAAUUGGCGUCUUUCCAGGGCAGUGAUUGGCUUUCACAUUAUGUCAAUCACUUUCUUUCUACAACGGUCUGGUGGUAAUUGCAGUGUCGCACUUGAGCGAAUAUUUUCACUGUCAAGUUCGUUAAUUUACUGAAGACAAAGAAAUGUGUGCCCAACUUCAACGAAAGGAUGAGUAAUCCAAGUGACAGGUAAGAUGCUAAUUACCCUAAAGUCUUGAAUGUGUGUGUGCGUGUGUUUAUGUAUGGAGGGAGGGGGAGGGGGAGAGAGACCGGCCUCUGUAUGUAGGCCUAUUACUGUGUUGUAACACCGGUAUGAGUGUAGUGUAUACAGUGUCAGUGAAACAAAAUUGGUCGCAAGGCGUUCUAUGGGCUGCCAUCCACUCCAAUGGCAGCAUAAUAAUAAUAAUAAAAAUAAUAAGAGGUCGUACGAAAACAAUAGGUUUUCACGCAGCUUAGCUGCUUGACCCCCAAUAACAGAAAGUGAGCGCACCAGUAUCUCCACUAUAAACUCUAUACAAUUUUAGGCAGAAUCUGUUCCAAUAAAUAUAUGUAGCCCCAACUUAAACUAAGUAAAUCCAUUCAGUAUAAUGCAAUUGAGUUAGUCCAAGUAAUUAUUGUAAAAUAAAUAUAGCUAUUCAAUAUGAUGUAAUUUAGUUAGUUCAACUAAUUAUUAUCAAAUAACUAGAGCUAUCCAAUAUAAUGUUUAAAAAAACAAACGUUUUUUAAAUCCAAUUAUUAUAUUUUAUACAAAUAUAACCACUCUAAGAAGGGCUUGAAUCGUAUAUAACUAUAUAUGUAUUUGUUCCAGAUCCUGCACCUUCACCACAUUUGGAAAGGCAAGUAUUUCACUUAACGCACAACUUUGAAAAAUAAGGGUCUUCACUCUUGUAAUGACUAUUCAAUUGCACAAUAAUGUGUGGGAUAUUAUACAAUUUAUUGUUGUGAUCCUAUUGAAAUGUCCUAAUUAUGUCAUUUUCAAGACACGGAGAACUUCCAAAAGCCUGGAACAAAUACUGAAAAGUAUUGAAGAAUUGGCACAACCUGGGACCAAUAUAAAGGGUUGCAGUUAUUACAAUGCUGAUGGCCUUUGGGGAGAUGUCUGCAAAAGCCUGGAAGUGCCCAAUACAUCAGUGAAUCGGCAAAAACUUUAUAAGGCCGCUGCUCAUCUUUGGAAGGACAUCUCAGGGAUAAAGAGCAACUUAAAAGUGACAGAUGCUGAUGCUGAGGAGAGGGAACACAUCGCCUCUUCGGUAAAUUCUCUGAUGUUACAGUCAAAACAUUUUGUUAUUGUUACCCAUUCCAUUACUUUUGUCGUGUACAAUUUGAAGGAAUACAAAUUAUUGUUAGAGUGGCCACUGUACAGUGAGUCAGACACUAUUUGAUUAUUUAUCUUUGGUUGUACACCAAUGUGAGACUCAAAUGUUUACUUGCAGAUGUCAGAUCCAGUGCUGUCAUUGUAAGAUAUUAGCAGAACAAUAAGUGGAUAUAUUGCUGUUCAUUACAUGAAAUUAUGUUUUCAGUUCCUACUACUUCAGAAAAUUUGACUAUUACUAAUGUACUGACACUGUGCCACAUCAAUUUAAUGUUAAUUUACAUGAUCUGUAUGCUCUUGUGUCUGAUUGCAUUAUAUAGAAGCUGUUAGACUAUUAAUUAAAAUGCUUUUCUGUGCCUUUUUACCUAUAAAGGAUGACAAUGAUGUUGGAGACACUCAUCUGUCUCCACCUUUGGAAAAAGAGGAUGAAUGUUCAUCUUCAUUUGAAAAGGAUAAUGAAAAGGAAUCCAACCUGGCUGAAUCUGCUUACAUGUCAACAGAGAGCAGUGAGGCAGAGGAGACAAUUUUCUCAUGCUGUGUGCCACAGCAGCCAUGUUUCUUUUUUCUUGACAAAAAGGAAUGGCAAGACCUGAGGGAAUCUCAGAGAGGAAAUUGUUUUCAAGGGUUACAGUGGACAAAUGUGAUAGCAAGUGGAAUAAGGUCACUUCACCCAUACUGCAGCUUUGGUUUUAGACGUCACGCAUUAAAAACCCUGCGGUCACAAAGAAGCGCACCCAUCUUCAAAUGUAAUGGAUACUGUCGGUUUGAAGAUUGCCCCAUUGCUGUUACUGUCGAAGUCAGAGAUGAGGUCACCCUGAAGGCAGAUGUGGUAUUCACAGGAGGAGAUAAGGUGUGCCACAGUACCACUGAACUCAAAAGAAGGCCAGUCCGUGCAGAUGCACGUUCAUCAGUUGCAGAAACCCUUGAAACGAAGUUACCAAGAAGCCUUUUUUUGGACUCUAUGCAGAAAAUUCCUGAGAUGGUGAUAGAAUCAGGCUGCAGGGACGAAGCACCGACAAAAGAGGUUCUAAGGAACAUCGCAUACACCCAAAGACAACUUAAAAGACCUCACACCAACGAACUUUUAAGUCUCCAAAUGCAAAUUGACCAAAAAACAGGAACAGACAAUGAAGUCCUGCAGAGGGUUAUGAUGCACCCAAAAGGAAUAAUGCUGUGGUCAAAAAAGACACUGUCCAUUUUUUACCAAAGAUGCAAGGAAGACAUUGUGUAUCUGGAUGCAACAGGAAGUAUAGUUCAGAAAGAAAGUGGCAAAAGUCCACCAUACUACGUGUAUGAAUUAGUUGUGCGGAAUCCUUCCAAGGGGGCAUCUCCUCUUCCUGUUGCAACCUACCUGACUUGUGACCACACCACAGCAUCUGUCACCUACUUUCUGCGGAAGUUGUAUGGGAAAAGGGCAGUGCAGAGGCCAGUGAUGAUCAUUUGUGAUGGCUCUUUAGUGCUUCUGCAGUCCAUUUCUUUUACAUUCUGCAGACUAAGCCUAGAGGAUCUUCUGCAGAAGUACUUUGAAGUCAUCACUGACCAACAUCAAGCAGAAAGGUUUGACCUUCCCAUUCUUCACAGAUGCUUAAGCCACAUCAUGAAGAAUGCAAAGGAUCUGUGCAAAAAGCAUGUUCCAAACCAUUACAAGCUGGCCAUGCAUAUAUUUGGGCUACUUGCAUGUUCCACAACUCUAAAAGAGAUGGAUGAGGUCAUUCUCAGUGCCACAGUCCUGUUCUGUAGUCCUUGCACUGGAGACAAUGUGUCAAAGCACUACAGCAACCUCCAAGUCCUUAUGCAGCAAAUGGGAACAUUUGAAGUUGAGGAAGAAAAAAUUGUUGCUGAGGACUACAAGUGUGAUGUCACUGCCACACCUAUCCAGAAUCACUUCCAACAAAAAAUUGACAGGGCACCUCUUGACCAUGAUGGUGAAGAAAACAACUAUCAUGCACCAAAUUUCAUUGCACGGUUGGCUCAAUACUUCCUGCCGCAUGCCGCUCUGUGGUCUGGUCUGAUGCUAGGGGAUAUUGGCCGUCAUGGUACAGGCCCAGCAUACCAGCAUUUCAGCAAGAUCCACAAAGAAGUCAGUCAGUCCAAUAAACAGAACUUUACACAAGACAACCGGACACAGGGCAUUAUGGAAAAAAGUCAGUGGGACCUCAAGAGAAUACGAUUCCAGAGAAGGCGACUCACACGACUUGAUGAUUUUGUGCAGACAUACCAAAAAACUCAUGAUGCACUGAUCAUUGAAUACCAAGACAGAGAAAGAACCAGAAAGAAAUCUUUUCGAGUGGAAAUGGAGCAGUGGAAGAAGAAAAGUCAGGGGCGUAAAGGAGUAUACGUCUCCCGACUAGUGAAGAGUCUCCCAUUCAAAGAAAUCAGAAGCAAGAAGUCUCCAAAGGCAGCCACCAAUGAACCCAAAGAAAAACCCGAAGCUGUGAUCUCAACACAGGAUGAUUUGGAAGCUGCAGACACUGCAGCGGAAAAGGCAACCACAGCCAUCGUACACCCUCAGAAAGCAGCAGUGCAGCAUAUAAGAAGGAGAAAAUCCAAUGUUGAAGGGCCUAUUUGGAAAAACUACAGUGCUACGGGAAAAACUGUUACAAGAAGGCUCUCCCGACCAGCUAAGAUAAAUACUCUGCAAGAAAUCCUUCACCAUGACUACUGGUUGACCAGUGAUGCCAUGGAUCAAGCCAGCUACCUCAUGGCCAAGGAUCAUGACCACAUUGACGGAUUUCAAUCGGUUUUACCGUUUAGCGCAAUUGCACAAGGAGGGAUUGUGGGGACUCCUGAAAAGAAAUUUGUUCAGAUGUUGAACAUCAGACAGAGCCACUGGAUAACAGUCAGCAAUUUGUUUUGCAAUGACACUCAACUCGCCGUUUAUGACAGCCUACGUAGCCCUCUGGACCCAAGAACACUGCAGGCACUGUCCUGGCUGCUAAGGCCACAGUCUGACACUUUGGAAGUUUUGCAACCAGCAGUGCAGCAGCAAGCAAAUUUGAGUAACUGUGGGGUGUUUGCAAUAGCCUUUGCAUAUGCAUUAUGCAAGGGUCAUCAACCAGAACAGUGCAUAUUCAAUGAAGGCAGGAUGAGGGCACAGCUGUACAAGUCAUUCACAAGGAACAACAUCACAUUUCGAAUGAAUGUUGAAGACAGAGAAGCUCAGUCAAACAUCACAACAACUACAGUACCAGUAUACUGUGUUUGCAGAACAGCUCAUUACAAAGAGAUGAUGGUGCAGUGUUCACUGUGCAAAGAGUGGUAUCAUCCCACAUGCGUCAACAUUCCGAGAGCUGUGAUCGGGAAUGAUGACAUCUGGCAGUGUUCCAAAUGUGAACAAGCCAAUAGCACUUGAGCCUCAAAGAGCUGAAAUGGGGAGAAAGAGAGAGAGGUGGGAUGACCCGCAGCAAAGGUCCACGGGCCGGACCCGAACCCGCGACCACUGCAACGAAAGCCGGAGCCAACACGGCACAUGCUCCACCCACCAUGCCACCGGAGCGCCCCACAAUUCCAAUUUUCAAAGAUUAUUUAUCACAUUUGUGUCUAUGUUCAGAGUUUGUACUAUUAGAAAUUUAUUUAUGUUUAAACCAACAGGAAAAAAAACAUUUGCAGGUUUCCGUUUUGUAUUUAAAGUCGACACUUUGACAGUUAAUGUAAAAAUGGCAAUUCUUGUAUUUAUUUGAUACUAUUUUAGUUGGCCUAUGACAUUUUUCAGAAAUAUAGUUAUGUACAUUUUAUUUGAAAGUUGGAUUGUUACUAAAGACUUUAUUGGGGUUUUCAAUAAAGAAAACAAAUGAGCAAACCUCUGUCUUACAUCAUGAGGACAGUAUCCAGCCAAUAUGCACAUUGAGAGUGGGAGGGAUUUUGAGUUGAAUUUAUUGUAAAACCGUACAGUAAAAUGUCUUGAUAUGUUCUAUAGUGAUAGUCAGGAUCACUGUGAACAAGAAUCCAUUGAGAAUAUCAGCAAACCUAUUAAGGAAUAAUUUAAAUACAUUUUUGAAAUUGAGGAAAUUAUC
ensembl:lncRNA